UUUAAGAUAUCAUUAAUUCCAAAUAAUCAUUAAAGAUGUUAAAAAUACUUUUUAUGUAUCCAAAAGUAACAUAUUUCUAACCAAAAUAAAGUUGUAGAUUUCUUGAAUCAGAUUUUUAUCUAGUCAAAACUCGUCUAGAGAUAUUUAGAAUUCUUUCUGGUCUCAUCUCAUUUAAAGUCGUCAUGAAACUUUAUUUUCCCCAUUGUGACAUAACUGAAAACGGCUGAAAAUAAAACUGCACACUUUGUUUGUCCUUCGGGAACUGAUUGGAUCGUUUUAUUAAAUUAGAAUUGCAGAUAUAUUAAAUUAUCAUUCUGACUAUUAAAAUUAUAUUUAUGAUUCACUAAAAUACAAUUGUAAUUAUCUAAAACAGUGGUUCUCAAUUCCAGUCCUCACAUACUACCGCUCUGCACAUUUUGUCUGUAUCUCUAAUGACUUUUGUUCUAUUCGACUGUAAGUGACCAGCGAAGUGGACAUCACAGGAUAUUCCGCUAUGAUUCCAGUUUGAAGGGAGCAUAUAUGUUCCAAUCAAAGGGUAUAUUAUGUCUCACUUUACACUUCUCUAGUAAGUUUAGUCUGUGUGAAGACACUGCAGGCAGUUCUGAAGUGAAGUAAACUUCAACGGAUUUCCCCUGCUCAGGGAGUAGGGAGCAGUGAACACUGUGUAGGGAGGGACCCUGUCAAUCAGAACACAGUUCUCUUCUAACAAGCUGGUGAUCUGAAUCAGAUGUGUUAAAAAAAGUGAGACAUGCAAAAUAUGCAGAGUGGAAUUGAGAACCACUGAUCUAAAACAUUAUUCAAACCAUUUUAGACUAACCUGGCUGUUGGCACUUCCUUAGCGGCCAUGUUGUUCUCCAAGUUGGAUAGGCCUACAGCGAUGAAUAAAUUAAGCUUUGUGUUAAAAAAAAAAUCAGUUAAAAUUUAUAUCAGGUGAGAAAAGUCUUGUCCCUGCCAGAGACCUCCAUUCAUACGCCAAUUUAUUAUAAUCAAUCUUUUUUACCCCCCUGGACUGAUAGAACUUACUUUGUCUGGAGGAAGAAGGGCUUAAAGUCCAUCAAAGACCUUUAUGUUUAGGGAAGGUUUGCAUCCUUUAGCCAGUUAAGAGAGAAAUUUGAUUUGUCUCAUGCACACUUCUUUCGUCAUCUACAAAUUAGCCAUUAUGUAAAGCCCAAAAUUGGUUUGUUUAUUUGAAAGCUGCCAAUACUAAGAGAUUUAAAGCAGCCUAGGAGGAAGACCUGGGAGCUCUCUGACGAUAUGUGGGAUAAGUGUCUGGCUACGAUACAGUGUGUGACCGGUGCAAGCUGGCAGAGGAUGCAACUUCUCAUGGCUACCUAGUGGCUACUCUGAGGCUAAAGCUGUACAUCUUUCUGGGCACCUUGACUGAUUGAUUUGUAGGUUUUUACUAUUGUACUUUUGGCUACUGAACCAAAUAUUUAUUGUCAUUAUCAUUAUAAUUUAAUUAUUAUUAUUAUAGGUUUUUUUCUCUGCUUGUGUGGUCCGAGACAGUGUUGUUUGUCUGUUCUGUGUUUAUUUUUGAAAAACCCUUAAAAAUAAAGUAU